CGCCUGUCGGGACCCGAAAGAUGGUGAACUAUGCCUGAGCGGGGCGAAGCCAGAGGAAACUCUGGUGGAGGCUCGAAGCGAUACCCACGUGCAAAUCGUUCGUCUGACUUGGGCAUACUGGCGCAAGCCUAAUCGCACCCUCUACCAGCUGC
rnacentral:ncRNA from 1 species